rnacentral:lncRNA from 1 species
AAAGGGGUCAUGAAGAAAAAUCUUUUAAAAGGGACCAAUCAAGCAGAUGAAACUUUUGUUUUGUCCAGACAGUGGAUGUAAUUGAAAAAUGAAUAGAAUGACCAUGACAUAAUGGAUUUGACCGGGACAGAACUCACUCAGGUGAACUGUGAACAGUGGACGGUAAGAAAGGAGCAAGUGGCUAGGAUUUUUCAUAACAUAGUAAGUUUUUGCGGCACUGAAUCAUAAGCAGAUGCAUUUAUGUGGAUUUCUAGAGUGAGCCAGGACAAACUGAAGUGGAAAAUGAAUAUUUCUGGGCAUUUGCUUGCAACUGUCAUGUGCUGGAAUCAUAUGAGAUGGUAUCUUUAAUGAUAUCAACUCUACAAAGUGCAUAGCAUAGAUAGGAUGGUGAUCUCAUCCUAAGAUGUGAUGGCCCACUCAUUUUUCUUCUGGAAUAGUGCAUUGGGUGAAGGGUGAAGAGGAUGUGAACCAACUGGAGUACUCUUGAAUUGCUUGAGCAUAUCAGCUAGAAGACCUGACAGACGUUAGCAUUGAAUGGAUCUUCUUGAGUUGCAAACAAUCACCUAAGUUCCUUCAUGUUUUCAUGUUUUCUGCAGGAGGUCCGCUUACACCAGAAAGAGAUGAGAAAGGCUAGCAACAGUCAGUCAAGAUAAACAAAAUUAAAGUGGUGAAUGGAUAUUCCAAGGCUUCAGAGUUAAGACCAAUGCAUGGCAUGUCAUAUUCUGUUUUGCUGCUCUGUGCAUUGCCAUGCUACUCAAUGUUGUCUCAUGGCAUGCAUACCAAUUUCAUCAAGUCCUGAACUCAAAUGUCCAGGCAUGAUAUUUUAGUGAGUGAAUGCAUUAUGGAAAAAUAGAAUAUUUUCAAAAGCAACAUUGGUUUAUUUUACUUUGAUUUGGAGUCUCUACCUUUUAAAGUGCAAAACUUUUGGCAUGCAAUGUAUUUUAUCAAAUUAAGCAGAAGAGUACUGUGUAAAUGAUCAUGUGAGUUACCAAAACCUCGAUUCCAGAAUAUAUCGCCUGUACAUGAAGUUUCUGAAAUUGCUUAUAGUUGAAACACAUAUUUUGCUAGUCAUAUACCCUGUGAACCAGCUGUGAUGGUAGCAUCAACUAGAAUUCAUGUGUCCUGUGCAACUGAAAUUUAUGAAUGCUCCUUCUACAUGCCUCUAAUGAAAACUUACUGCAACUUUCUUGUUUCCAGUUUACCUAUUGAGAUAGUAUAUUGUAUGUUAUU